CAGUAGCCGCGGUAAUACGAAGGGUGCAAGCGUUAAUCGGAAUUACUGGGCGUAAAGCGUGCGUAGGCGGUUUGUUAAGUCUGCUGUGAAAUCCCCGGGCUCAACCUGGGAAUUGCAGUGGAUACUGGGCAACUAGAGUGUGGUAGAGGGUAGUGGAAUUCCCGGUGUAGCAGUGAAAUGCGUAGAGAUCGGGAGGAACAUCCAUGGCGAAGGCAGCUACCUGGACCAACACUGACACUGAGGCACGAAAGCGUGGGGAGCAAACAGGAUUAGAUACCCCGGUAGUCCCUGUCUCUUAUAU
rnacentral:rRNA from 1 species